UCCCCCACCCCCACUCAACCAGCAUACAGCUUGUUGUUUGUUUGGCAUUUUACUUUCCCAUUGAUCAUCAGCAGGUUUUUCUGGAAAUCUUUCUCUUUCUCCGUCUCCAUUUUUAUCAUCUCAAUAAUGCUCCAUGUGUACACUUGUGUCAACUAGUGCCUCUUUAUAAGGAAUGAAAACAUGGUUUUAUAUUCCUGAAUAAAUAAACAACCAUGGAACAGGCAGAAAAAGGCGAGAGAGGAAGAAAGAGAGAGAGUGCACAUGAUCACUUACAGAGCAGCAGUACAAGGGCUUCUCACUGCUGGCUUCAGCUAUUUUGAAAUAUUUGGGGCCAAAGAAGGAGCAAAUCUCUAGAGAAAAGAAGGCUAUUAACAUCACCAAUAGUUCACAAAAUAGCUUUGUUUCUUGAAAGACACAGACACGGCGGGAGGUGGUUAGUGCAGCUAUACUAGGGCUGUACUACUUUGAAAUAAUGGACCCUAGGGGCCUGAGGCUACAAACCAUUCUUCAUGUGACAAGGAACCACUCACACGUGUAAAGAUGACUUGUGUGAGUAAAGGAUUGCGGAUUGGGCCCUAAGGUUCUUAUUGGGAGGCCACUGAAAUCAAUGGAAAAAUGGAAUGAUUUCUCUGGGUUUUGGAUCAGACUCUGACAAAAGGGAUUUUGCUAGGUUUGCAGAUACUGCAUAUAAUUAUAAUAGCAAAUCAGCCAGGGAGCACUUCUACUUAUUAUUAGACCGGGCUGAACUAGUUGAUGGAAACAAUUUAUUGAACAAAUGUAUUCCUUUAUUUUGUUCACAAAAUGUCUCCCAAAGAGCCCAUGGGUCAGAUUCUUCGCUGGGCUGCAUUUACAGCAGCGCAAUUGAGGAGGGGAGAGAAGAUGAAGGAAAGGUGGUGGUAAGCCACAAAGCAGGCAGAGCAGGUGGUUCUAAAUGCAAAGCAGGGGGAGUCAGAAUUUCGAACAAUUUUUAGGCAUGUAGAUGAGGCAAUGUAAGGGACUCUUUGUACUGAGUAGUUAGUUAGUUGAUAUUCAGAAUUCACUAUUCAAGUUUUGUGACUAAUCAACUAAGGCUUUGUCUCCAUUAAGGAAGUUUGCACCAGUGUAACUCAACAAUGUUAAUGUCCUUAAUGCACUUUGUUACAAGAGUGCACUAUUUCUUUAUAUGUAGAUGGCGUUCAAAUAUAUGUCACAUCGUUUAUGGGCUUUGUAGGCACUGCAAAUGGCUUAUUGUGUGCAGCCGUUUACAUCAGCUCUUAACAUAGAUCAGGCUUGAGUUACGUGACAUUGUUUCUAUUCCCUGAUCAAAUGACAUAACUUCUUAUAAUUAUUUGCCCUUACCCAAACUUAAUAUCAUUUCUUCAUUAAAGCACCAUCAACCUUGAA